CCUGGUUCCUCCAACACUACACCGCGACGAGUUGUUACAGGAGUGAGGGAAGCUUGUUUGGCCUUGGUUGAAGACCUUGUUUUUUCUGAUAAAUUGCCAGCGCCUGAUGUCGCUUGCCAGGACACUCCCAAGGCCGCCAAGAGGGGUAGCAACUACAAAGCUUGUGGCAGCCCUCAAGUAAAGAAAUCCAAAACCAAAGAGUUGACUUUAUCCUCAGAGAUAAUGCAGACCUUUCUGCAUUCCUUCAAGCCCUGAGUCAGGGCCAUCUAGCACCCCUUCAAGUUUAGGGGACUCGUUGGAGGACUCUGAUGAAGACCUGCUUUCUGCUCUGGCUUACAGCCAAUGCUUUGUCAAGUUGAAUGAUAACAUAUCCAGGGUCACAAAAGCUGUGCCAACAAUUCAGACCCAUUCAUCAUCAAUGCUAAGGAUGGGUCAGAGGAGUCUUUCCUGACAACACGGAGUCACAAGAAAGUUCUGCCUCUUUAAGUGUGGUCUUUUGGUCAGCCUUGGCUAGGUAAUAACUCGAUAAACCCCAGGCAUCAGCCCGUCACCAACCUGUUUUUUUAGGAAAGGCCCAGCUGCAACGCCAUUUAGUUUGACGACCUCGUCAGCCUUCCUUAAGGAACUUGCUGGGCAGACCCAUGGGCCCUAGCCCACUUAGUCAAGGAUUGUAGGACACUAUCUGCCAUGUACGAUGCAAAAUAACAUUGGUUGGUUGCAUACACAUAAAGUAGAUGACUGCAUAGCAGAACUGAUGCUUUCACCCGAUGAGGUCUUGAAGGAUGGCGCCCACUGUCUCAGAUUUCAGGGCAGGACCAUUGAUGAGCUCCUGUUAUGGGUCUAAGACACAGCGGCUCACAUUGGCUAUUUCUUCUGCAAAACGAGUGAGUUACAUGCACUCUCAGUACAUGCACUCUCAGAGUCCAAACUGGCUGCAAUGGAAGGCAGACAAUCUGGGUGUGACCUUCUGGCCGAAUCCAGGUUUUCUGCCCAAUGUUCUGUCACCCUUCACAUAAACCAAGCAGUAGAGCUGGAGGCUUACUUUUACCUUCCUUUUCGGAAUGUUGAGGAGGAGGACAUUUCCUGUGUCCAUUCCAUUCACUCAGGCGUUACAUUCAAACUUCUGGUACCAUCAGGAUGUCAGACCAGCUUUUCCUGUGUUUCGGCGAAGUCAGUGUCAUGCAUUGCACAAGCAGAGGCUUUCACACUGGGUUGUGGAUGUCAUCGCUCAGGCCUAUAAAGAAUCAGGAUGGUCUAACCAGGAGGGUGUGGUGUGUCCCUAUCCAGGAUUGUUGCCACAUACUGGGCUGCUCUGAGAGGCGUCCCCCUGGCUGAGAAAUUUGCUGCUGAUACCUGGUCAUGACCAUGUACAUUAUCAAUAUGAAUGUCACAUCCUGCUACACACUGGGUUCUGCAAUUCUCCCAUUGCCUUCUUCUCUUUAACUUGAAGUUAGUGGAGUUGAUUCAAGUGACCUUGUUGGUAUGACUCAUCCAUAAUUUCUACCGUGCUGACGGUCUCAAAGGUAUGAAGUAGAAGUUACGAGUAUAACUAUGGUUCUACGAUUACCCAUUAGUACUUUAUUGUGGCUCAGAAUCUUAGUCAAUAAGAUUCUGUGAGACAGUGUGUACGGUUUUAUAGGAACCGUGGGGGCACAUCAUCCCAAGCAGUUACCAGCAUUACUUUAUUGUUAUAAUUGCUCGACCUGUGCACAGCACAAUUCAUUCAUUCUUCCAAGUAAUCAUAGUGACAUUCAUAUUUUCCAAUAUCUGGUCAUUCAUGCUUUUAUUCAUGCUAAUAGUACAGUAAAAACAUUCCAUAUGA